AAAACAGGGGAAGCUUGAAGAAAGAAAAAAAGAAAAAGAAAAGAAAGAAAGACAGAGAAGGGAGAAAGGGUUAUCGAGGGAGAAGAGAGGAAGAGAGGGUUGUGUCGGGGAAGAAAAGGAGAGGAAGAGAGGUCUGAGGGAGAAGUGAGUUACGUCGCAGGGGAGAAGAGGGAGACCGAGCCGUCGCGCCACCACCGAAUCAUCGCGCCGCCACGCCGCCGCCACCGUCGGGCUGCUGUGCUGCCAUCGAUACGGUUCAGAGAGGAAGGAAGCGCUACGGUGAGGAAGGGAGCAGGAGCCCAUCGCGCUCGCUGCAAGCCCGUCGUCCGUGUCUUGUCGCCGCGCUGGAGUCGUCGCCGCCAAUGCUGAGCACCGCCGCUGCCGCCUUUGAGGGGAGCCGCCACCAUAGCUGGGAAGAACGGAGUAGGGGAGAGGAGGUUUUGUUGAUGUUGUGGCAGAGAAGGAGGACGAGACGUGUGAGAGAGAGUGACGCACAGAGGAGAGACCAUUCCUCUGCCGCCGCCGAUCGCUGCCAUCAUUAAUGGUGAGUCAGUUAAGCCCUAGCUAUGAGAACCACCAUCUCUGAACCCUUAUUGCUCUGUAAAAUACCCUGUAUCUGCCUCUGAUGUUUUUAGCUAUAUUGUUUGUUGGGGUUUGUCUCAAUUGGAGUCACUGGUGAAGGCGUUGCCGCUGCUGGAAGCCAACGUCGAGGCUGUUGCUGGUUCUGAUUCUAUUAUCCUGGGCUGUUACACUGGUUAAAGAAUAUACACAAAAUUAUGAUACUUACAUUGGAAGGAUUUGAUAACAAAGAAGAAUCAAUGCUAUAUUGAUGCAAGAUCCAUCCACCAUCAUGGCUAGUACCACUCUUCUCAAAGCGAUAUCGUUUCCUCGUUUCCUCAUUCCAAUGCGCUGGUUAGUUUUAUUGGCUAUAAUCUCUUUUCCGAUGUCUUCACCUUCCCAACAACCCAACCCGAUGGUGCGAACCAUCCUCAAGCUGUUAGUCGAGAACUUCCUCUUCAGACUAGUGAAGAAAUAGAGGUCGUUCUUCCCAAAUUUCCCAUGGAUUCUUCUCCUUACCAAACAAUUCACCUUCAAGAAUGGUUCCAUAGUUUGGUAGAGGCCUCCCAUUGAUUUUGUUACGGAGAAAAUCUUGAAUGAGUUCUUCAUCUGUAGUACAUGCACAAGCAAAUACACACACACAGCAGAAGAAAGAAUAGAGAACGGAAGCCAGAGAAGAGAAGAGAGGAAGGACGCGCUGGCGCUAGUGGUCCUCGCAACCGCCGUCGCCGCCAAACCAACCGCGCGAGAGAGAGAAAGUUCGCUGAAGAGAGAUGCGUCAGAAAGAGAGAGAGCUCGCACCUUGUCAUUGCCGUCCAUGGAGCCACGAGCCGCAUCACUGUCGCCGAGGGAGGAAAGAGCACGAGCUGGAGGAGCCGUUGAAGAAGUUAUCGGCUGUGAGGCAAAGAUAAUUUUCGUUGAUAAUGGGUUUCAAUUCGGUGUAUAGGAGCUUGCUUGCAAGAUAUAUUCCCCCAGGAUUCCAAAAUGAACACUCUGGCCCAUCAUUUUAAAGAAUUUUUGUUCAUACCAGAACACUUAAGGCGGUGGCUAUUGAAAAUCCAAAUGAUGCUGAUCAAGCUGCUGAAAUUGUUCUCAGUGAAUUGCACAGAGACUUAAUAUUGCCACUACCAUGGAAGAGGACUUGCAGCUGCAUUUUUAUUGUUAACAAGAAGAGAAGAUAUGAGAGAGCGCGCUGCAAGUUUUGAAAGGGGGAGUAGUUGGCACCAUAUGAGGGAAAGACUUCCUCUUUCGAUGUUGCAGAGAAGAGAAGAAGAAAACAACAAUGGUGAAGAAACAAAGAACGAUGGAAGAAGGAGAAGAGGGUGGCGACGACAGGGACGGUCACAGAGAAGGAUGCCAGAUCAAUAGAGAAAAGAAGAGAAAUGAGGCGACAGUGGUGAUGGAUUCCACCGCCGCUGUUGGAUCCGUAGAACUGUGUCCAUUUACCUAUCAAUCGGCAUUAUGCAGAGUUAUCCAUUUGAGUUGUGGAGUAUACACAAAUCAAUUGGUUAAGAUGAUUGUGUUUGCCAUCUCACAAAUCUGACAUGGUCAGGCCUCGAUGAAAAACGCAACUAAUGCUAUGGAGUCGCACACUAUUGACUUUUUUGGAUCAAUUCCAUGAUGCAAAUUCCAUGUCACUUGAGUUUAGUGUUCUUAAGGAUCUCAUUGAGAUUUUAGAGAGCAAAAGUAGCCUCAUUGAAGAGGCAGGGAGCUUGCAAUGUCUCCAAUCAAAUUGCUACGUUUUGAUGUAACUGUUUGGUAAAAAAAAGCUUAGAUUUUGGAGGAUGUCCAUUUUUGCUUCAAAAGAGGGACUUGAUUUAAGAAGCAAUAAUGGAAGGACGGUUGAAAUUCGACGAUGACAAGAAAGAGAUGAAGGUUGAUGUGGAUCCCUUCGAGAUCGAUGAUAGUUAUGUCAAACUUUGUUUAGGGGGUGAAUAUGGUUGGCAUGUCCUAUAACUUUGAUGUGGCUCUUGAUGAUUUUGAGUCACAGGUGAGAUCUGUAUACCCUAGAACGGGAGAUGGCUUGCUGGAUUUCUUGGUUCAGCAAAAGAUCAAAGACUGGAACGUAUCUCUGUGUCCUCGGUGCAAUGCUAUUUUUGAUGCUGAAGCAGCAGCAAUCUUUGAAAAAGAAUGGAUGAAGAAAGAAUUGGCUCAUAGCGAAGAGCAAGUGCCCCAGAGGCAGCCAAUUCGACGUGUGAAGGGUUCUAGUUCAAAGAUCCCUCAGCAUGAUGUGACUACACCUUUAAGCCAAUCCCAGGCUGUAGGUGUUCAGUGGAUUAAGAAUUGUCAGGAAUUCCAGAGGCGUGACCAUCUAUAUCGACGUAAUCCUCAAUGGGGGCAUCGGGCACCUUCUCGAAAUCAAUAUGCCUAUUAUCGACGACGGGCCAGGGGUUAUCCAAGGGAAGAGGUGGAAGGAGAAGUUUCAAUCAGAAUAAGAAACUUCAACUAGAGGCAGGAAAAGAGGUAAGCAAGGGAAAACGCCUUCUGUGCAUUCUCGAAUUGUCUUUUCUUUUGAUGGAGAGACUUAUCCCAAGAAAAUUCCAUCACCUGCUAAGAUGGAAAAAGGCAAAGCAGUGACUCAGUCCUCAGGAGUCGAUAAAAACAAAGAUGUCGAUGUUGAUGAAGAGUAUUUUGAUGAAGGGGAUGAUGACAUGAUAGGGACGAUCUCGAUUAUUCCAACUGAAUACCUUGGGGAAUGUGAGAGUAAUCCAGAUGAGGAUUAUGAUCAAGAAGAUGAGGAGGCUUUCUCCUUUAUUCGAGUUGAAGAUGAACCGGGGUAUUUUUCUCGGCCUACUGAAAAACAAAUGUCCCAUUUACGCCCACUUCAUAUUAUCGCUAUUUUGAAUGGAUUCAAAAUAAACAAAGUGUUGAUUGACGGUGGGGCAGCAAUUAGUCUUCUGCCUGAGAGGAUGUUAGGAAAAGUGGGGAAACAUUUUGAGGAACUGGUCCCUACAAAUAUUGCUGGAAUUGAUUUUAGUGGGGCUUCUACGCCAGCAAAAGGGUUGGUAACUUUGACUGUGAAGGUUGGGUCGUAUGAAAGACAUUCUGUAUUUGUGGUAGUUCCAUCAAAGGACAGUUAUAAUGCUUUGUUGGGAUGAGAUUGGACUCAUGGUGUAGGGGUUGUACCUUCUACUGUGCAUCAAAGUGUGCUUUUAUGGACUAAAGACGGAAAGCCUGAGGUCGUCAAAGCAGAUUUGAAUUUAUAUGUCGAACAACUGCAUGUCAAUUUCAAGAUGUAUAGCCGUAAGUUAAAGCCCUUAAAUGUUGAUCGAUCACUGAACCCUUAUAAUUGUGAAGCGUGUUUCUUGUCCUCGGAAGGCUUUUCGGUGAAGCUUCUUUACCCUGAAUUGGACUUCGAGCCAACUGGUUGGGACUGUCUUUCUUGAAGACCUUAAAGACUGCUCUAUGGACCAGGUUGAGGAAAUUUCUGACUACCUGGUAACAUUACAUAAUUAUUUGAAUAAUUUUCAGUAUUUAGAAAAUAAAGAUAGUUCUUCUGAUAAAGUUGAAUCAGAUAGGGUUAAUAAUCUUAUUAAUUGUAAUGUGUUCAAUUCGACGUCCUCGAUCGAGUUUAGUUAUGAUUUCCCUAUUUCUUGUAAUGAAAUUAAUGAUGUGAGUCGGACUGCCGAUUUAAUAGCAGAGACUCAUUGUGUAGAAAAUAAAAGUAGUGAUAAAUUAAGCAAAGAUCAAGUUUC